rnacentral:rRNA from 1 species
UACGGAGGGGGCUAGCGUUAUUCGGAAUUACUGGGCGUAAAGCGCACGUAGGCGGCUUUGUAAGUAAGAGGUGAAAGCCCGGAGCUCAACUCCGGAACUGCCUUUUAGACUGCAUCGCUUGAAUCCAGGAGAGGUGAGUGGAAUUCCGAGUGUAGAGGUGAAAUUCGUAGAUAUUCGGAAGAACACCAGUGGCGAAGGCGACACACUGGCCCGUAACUGACGCUGAGGCGCGAAAGCGUGGGGAGCAAACAGG